rnacentral:lncRNA from 10 species
AAGAUAACAUCGUAUGGCCUUCUUUCUGAAGGGCCUGAAGAAGCCUUUGGACCAAAGCAAUAAAAUUCUGACCUUCAAAAAAGAUUAUAUCACAUAAUUUUCUACCUUUAAAAAUUGUAUAACAUUUUUUAUUCUAAAAUAAAAAGCAUAGGUACACAAACCUAAGCUUUAUUCCCAAAAAAGAUGUUUUCUAAGGGAAUAUAUUCAGGUUACAAAAUGCUAUUUUUAGGGAGCUAAAUGAUAAGAACUUAUGGACACAGAGAAGGAAACAACAGAUACUGGGGCUUACUCAAGGCGGGAGGGUGGCAUAGCAUGAUCACAGCUCCCUACAACCUCCGCCUCCUGGGUUCAAGUGAUUCUCCUGCCUCAGCCUCCCAAGCAGCUGGGACUACAGGUGCCACCACGCCCGGCUAGUUUUUGUAUUUUUUUGUAGAGAUGCAGUUUCACCAUGUUAGCCAGGCUAGUCUAGAACUCCUGGCCUCAAGUGAUUCACCCACCUCAGCCUCCCAAAGUGCUAGGAUUACAGGCGUAAACCACCGCACCCGAUCUGGAAGAUUCAUUUCACAAAAAUUUUAACUUAGAGUUUACGUAAUUUAAAAAAAUAAUUGAAGAGCAUCUCUAUUCUAUAGGCAAAUCAACAGUUCAAGGACAUGAACCAUCCCUUUGUCCAGCAUAUCCAUCUUGUAUAUGCUCCCCAUGUGGGAGUCUAGCCAGGGAGGCAUUGCUCAGGUGACCAGGACAAGCUCCACAGCACAGUGGUGAGCUCAUCCCAGCAGCAAGGAGUUGUGCCACGCCCUGGCUGAAGCCCAGAGCAAAUGGACAGAAGAGGACUCCUUCUGGACCCACAGAACUCCAAGAUUUUCCAGGCUCAAACCAGUCGCAGAUUGGCAUCUUUAGACCCCCAAGUAGGAAGACACUUCAGAAGAAGCCAUGUCUGAGGCACUUUCAUGCUCAGGUACCUUCAUUCUUCACUCAAAUCCCAGGGAGUCUGGGCAUAAGGCUGGCCCCAGUUUGGCAAAGGUUUUGCAGUUUCUUGAAAAAAAGUAUGAAAUAAACAAAGACACACCUAACAUGUACUUUAGAGGGCAAAGUUGGAGCCAGAAUCCCAAAUGCCCAGCAUUCAGAGGAACGGCUUUAUAUUUGCUUUGAAACUCACAUUUGUCAAAAAUGCUCUAUACGCAGCAGGGAUCAACAAAGUACAGCCCUAGACCAACUUCAGCCCACCACCUAGUUUUGUAAAUAAAGUUUUAUUGGAACACAGCCCCACUCAUGUAUUUAUCUUGGCCAUUUUCAUGCUACAACAGAGUCGAGUAGUUGGGACAGAGACCAUUUGGCCCACUGUGGGGACAAGAGUGAGUUUAUUUUAAAUGCUAAUCCCCAGCUGGGCAUGGUGGCUCACGCCUGUAAUCCCAGCACUUUGGGAGGCUGAGGUGAGUGGAUCAUUUGAGGUCAGGAGUUUGAGACCAGUCUGGCCAACAUGGUGAAACCCCAUCUUUACUAAAAAUACAAAAUUUAGCCAGGGGUGGUGGCAAGCAUCUACUAAAAAUACAAAAAGGAUCCGGACGUGGUGGCAGGUGACUGUAGUCCCAGCUACUCAAGAGGUUGAGGUUGGAGGAUUGCUUGAACCCAGGAGGCAGAGGCUGCAGUGAGCUGAGAUCGCACCACUGCACUCCAGCCUGGGUGACAGAGCAAGACUGUGUCUCAAAAAAACAAAACAAAACAAAUAAUAAAAUAAAAAUAAAUGCUAAUCCCCCAGGUGACUUCUGACUAGCCCCACGUCUGGGAAUGCCUCCAUCAUCUAGUUGAUGUUUUAUUCUUUGUGUGGGAACACCUAUUCACUGUAAGUGUCACCUUCCCUGAAA